UUGAGAGUGUUGAUGGUGGCUCAGGAUGAACGCGUAGCGGCAGGCUUAAUACAUGCAAGUCGAACGGUAAGGUCUCUUCGGAGAUACACGAGUGGCGCACGGGUGAGUAACACGUACGCAACCUACCUUGUACUGGAGCAUAGCCCCGGGAAACUGGGAUUAAUACUCCAUAGUCUUCAAUGAUCGCAUGAGAAAUGAAGUAAAGCUCCGGCGGUACAAGAUGGGCGUGCGUCCCAUUAGUUAGUUGGUGAGGUAACGGCUCACCAAGACAGCGAUGGGUAGCUGGCGUGAGAGCGCGACCAGCCACACUGGCACUGAGACACGGGCCAGACUCCUACGGGAGGCAGCAGUAGGGAAUAUUGGUCAAUGGGCGAAAGCCUGAACCAGCCAUGCCGCGUGGAGGAUGACUGCCCUCAGGGUUGUAAACUCCUUUUAUAUGGGAAGAACCCCCCGGAUUCACUCCGGGGCUGACGGUACCAUAUGAAUAAGCACCGGCUAACUCCGUGCCAGCAGCCGCGGUAAUACGGAGGGUGCAAGCGUUAUCCGGAUUUACUGGGUUUAAAGGGUGCGUAGGCGGGACAUUAAGUCAGAGGUGAAAGCCCCGAGCUCAACUUGGGAAAUGCCUUUGAAACUGAUGUUCUUGAAUAUAGUUGAGGCAGGCGGAAUACAGCAUGUAGCGGUGAAAUGCAUAGAUAUGCUGUAGAACACCAAUUGCGAAGGCAGCUUGCUAGACUAUUAUUGACGCUGAGGCACGAAAAGCGUGGGGAGCGAACAGGAUUAGAUACCCUGGUAGUCCACGCCCCUAAACGAUGAUUACUCGAUAUUGGCGAUACACAGUCAGUGUCCAAGCGAAAGGCGUUAAGUAAUCCACCUGGGGGAGUACGUUCGCAAGAAAUGAAACUCAAAGGGAAUUGACGGGGGGGUCCGCACAAGCGGGUGGGAGC
rnacentral:rRNA from 1 species